UCCAAUCCAGAACUUCUGUCCACACCUAUUAUAGUUGGCAUUACAUGUGGCGCCUUAGUUUUUGUCCUUUUGGUUAUUUUUCUUCUCUGUCGAAAAGGAACAAAAGGAUCUGCUGCCACUCAAAAUGGAUUAGUUACUUCAAAUGUUGAUGAAGAACGAGAACAGGUAAUA